rnacentral:rRNA from 1 species
UACGUAGGGGGCAAGCGUUGUCCGGAAUCAUUGGGCGUAAAGCGCGUGUAGGCGGCCUUGUAAGUCCGUUCUGAAAGUCCGGGGCUCAACCCCGGGAGGCGGAUGGAUACUGCAAGGCUCGAGUCCGGAAGAGGCAAUGGAAUUCCCGGUGUAGUGGUGGAAUGCGUAGAUAUCGGGAGGAACACCAGUGGCGAAGGCGGUUGCCUGGAGCUUUGCUGACGCUGAUGCGCGAAAGCGUGGGGAGCGAUCCGG